rnacentral:rRNA from 1 species
GAACGGGGAUUACACGGCGAUGCGAUUUCGGUCAAAUCAAGUGCAAUCUUAGUGGCGGACGGGUGAGUAACGCGUGGGUAACCUGCCUUGCACUGGGGGAUAACACUUAGAAAUAGGUGCUAAUACCGCAUAAGCGCACGGUCCUGCAUGGGACAGUGUGAAAAACUCCGGUGGUGCAAGAUGGACCCGCGUCUGAUUAGCUGGUUGGCGGGGUAAAGGCCCACCAAGGCGACGAUCAGUAGCCGGCCUGAGAGGGUGGACGGCCACAUUGGGACUGAGACACGGCCCAAACUCCUACGGGAGGCAGCAGUGGGGGAUAUUGGACAAUGGGGGGAACCCUGAUCCAGCGACGCCGCGUGAGUGAAGAAGUAUUUCGGUAUGUAAAGCUCUGUCAGCAGGGAAGAAAGCAAUGACGGUACCUGACCAAGAAGCCCCGGCUAACUACGUGCCAGCAGCCGCGGUAAUACGUAGGGGGCAAGCGUUAUCCGGAAUUACUGGGUGUAAAGGGAGCGUAGACGGCUGUGCAAGUCUGGAGUGAAAGGCGGGGGCCCAACCCCCGGACUGCUCUGGAAACUGUAUGGCUGGAGUGCAGGAGAGGUAAGCGGAAUUCCUAGUGUAGCGGUGAAAUGCGUAGAUAUU